rnacentral:tRNA from 1 species
GGGUGAUUAGCUCAACGGCAGAGCAGUUGACUCUUAAUCAAUUGGUUCUGAGUUCGAAUCUCAGAUCACCCA